rnacentral:rRNA from 1 species
AUUGAACGCUAGCGGGAUGCUUAACACAUGCAAGUCGAACGGAGUGGCGGACGGGUGAGUAAUAUAUAGGAACGUGCCUGGUGGCGGGGGAUAACUACUCGAAAGAGUGGCUAAUACCGCAUACAAUCGGAGGGGCCGAUAUAGGAUUAGCUAGUUGGUGGGGUAAAGGCUCACUAAGGCAACGAUCCCUAGCUGGUCUGAGAGGAAGACCAGCCACACUGGGACUGAGACACGGCCCAGACUCCUACGGGAGGCAGCAGUGGGGAAUUUUGGACAAUGGGGGAAAGCCUGAUCCAGCCAUGCCGCGUGUAUGAUGAAGGCCUUCGGGUUGUAAAGUACUUUUAGCAGAGAAGCGUUAUCCGCAGAAGAAGCACCGGCUAACUACGUGCCAGCAGCCGCGGUAAUAC